UGUCUUUCCUUUCUGCUUUUCACCAUCUGCUUGAAAGCCUCUGCAGAAGAUGCCUAGGCCUCAAACAGCAGUAGGUUCAAAGGCACAGCUCCAGAUAUGUGAGCUAAAGGGAAACCGAGUAUCAUGUUUGGUACGUCAGCAAUAUUAUUUCCUUACUGUGUGCACUUUGCAGCAGAAAUUACACAAAGAGGAAGGGCUGAGGAGGUAUGAAGCCAGUUCCUAACCUGCCAGGCACCGCAGCAGAUUGUCACAGCCAACUGAUGAAGACUGAGUAAUGAUAACUCAGUAUUAACCUGCUUCUAGUAUUACCCUGUAAUACCGUUCAUCUCUUCCAGUAUAUUUAAUAAGCCUCCUCCCCUCUUUCAGGGGUAUGAUUCUUACAAAGAGGUUAACAUACUGUGUAGGUGGAGGUCCUUGCCUCAAGGAAAGGGGCAUUCUUAAAGAGGAAAUGCGUUUUUAAUAAUAAAAAAAAAAAAAGUGAAAGAAAAAAGCUUAAAACUCACUUUGAAGCAAGACAAAUCAAAUGACUUUAUUCAGAAAUUCAAGUUCAGAAUCAUAGUUUUUUGUGUGAUGUUACAACAGUCCAUCACCUUACACUUUCUGCAACUUAUUCUAACUCAGCUUGGAACUUGUCUAGAACAUCUACAUGGUCUUUCACACAAACCCACUGCACAGAAGGAGCCUGAGAUAAUUUAAGACUACCCCUCACUUGUGCAGUUACAGCCAAAUAUUUUCCACUGCAUAGACCAACUCUUUCUGGUAUAUAUACACAGUUUCUUAUGCGCUGUG
ensembl:lncRNA